NNNGACCUCAGCUCGGGCGUGAUAACCCGCUGAAUUUAAGCAUAUCACUAAGCGGAGGAAAAGAAACUAACAAGGAUUCCCUCAGUAGCGGCGAGUGAAGUGGGAAGAGCCCAUCGCUGAAUCCCCGCACGCCGCAAGGUGUGCGCGGGAAUUGUGGCGUGAGGAAAACAGAAUCCUGGCCGUUCCAAGGCUGCCGAGGUCCCCAUGACCGGGGCUCCUUCCNNNNCGGGUGUAANGCCCGUUCAGGCCAGGGCGGUCGGGNGUAUGCUUUCCAAGAGUCGGGUUGUUUUAGAAUGCAGCCNAAAGAGGGNNNGUGAACUCCNUCCAAGGCUAAAUAUUAAGCACGAGACCGAUAGUAGACAAGUACCGUGAGGGAANNN
rnacentral:rRNA from 1 species